AGCAUAUAAAGAGCACCUAAUCCCAGUGUUAAAUUCACGUACCAGGGACAACAAAAAGCUGCCUGAGGAUGAGAUAGGAGGAAAACGAUAGCUGAUAGGGAUCGUGUGAUGGGGGCGUGAGCAGAUCUGUGCCGUCCGUUCCGCCGCCCGGCGCAUCUCAGCCGUCCACGUGCUCGUCUAGCUGCCGGUCCAUGUAUGGGGCGUAUGGCUUUUUCUUCUUCCUCAUUCUUUUUUUGAGCUUUGAGUGUCCUCAUCUCAUCUCAUCACAUCAGCUCUCGCCUUCAGUUCCUCCCCGCCGCAUCUCCCAUCUCGUAUUUCCCAUCCUCCCUUCGCGCGUCUGGGUGAGGAUUCGGGCUUGUACUUCUUGUUAAUCCCUAGUCCUUCAGUCCUUCUCCCAUCAGGUGUCGAUUUGGUCUAUUGGUUUUUCUUUUUUACUUUGCUUAAUUCUCGUUUUUUUUUUUAAAAAAAAGGGUUGUUCUGUUGGAUCUCCAGCUGGAGCCAAGGAUACAUACUAGUAGUAAUUUCUGUUGGUUUGUUUUAGUGAUUUAUCUUGGUUUUUUUAGAUCUGGUAUACAUCUCCCGUGGUUCGAUUGGGCUGGGUAUUUGUUCUUUGAAGAUUGGUGUUUUCAGUUUUUCUUGCGUGCUAGUGAUGAUUAAAGAAGUUAAAAAUGGUGAAUCCUGGAUUAAUGUGCUCGCGUGCCGCUGUGUGCGCGCGCGGCUGGAGAUUUUUUUUUUCUCUCUGUUCUUCUGUGAGUUCUUCUAUGGAAAAUAUAUUUUUUUUCUUCUAACCUCUCCUUAAUUUGACUCGUGUGCGUAGUUACUUGCAGGUUGUCAGAAUUACUAGGUUUUGAAAUUACGACUGGUACUCCAGGCUGGUAGAGCGGCAAGGUCGUGUACAGGUCUUUGUCUUUGAUGCAAAGGUGGAAGGUGCUGCUAAAAGAAAAGGAGUGUACUAGCUUGGAUGUCUUUCAAGCAAAGAUAAUGCUGACGUUGGAAGUGCUGAAGCCGACUGAUAAUCUUCCUGAUGAUAUAGGAUAGUUCAUGGGAAUGGGCUCUGAAAAUAUUUGGUCUUUUGUUGUGGGUGUUAAAAUGUCUGGAAGGGGGCUAGGUUUAGUGGAUGUCCAAGCUUUUGUUGAGCUGGUUUGGAAAACUGGAAUCCCCAGUUUUUUGUUUCCUUUUGUUUCGUUUUUCUGUAAGAACUCUGUUUCGUUUGGGCUUUUUCUAAAGCCGGGUAAUAUAUGCCUGUUGUCAAAAAAAA